CGGCCUGUAUUCGCUCGUCGGGCGGCACGGCGAGGCUGGAGUCGCUGCCGGGGGUCGGCCGGGCCAGCGCGGUGCGGAUGAAGCCGCCGGUGGACGCGUCCAUGGCGGAUCACUCCACAUACUGACCACCCAUGCGGCCCCAUCAGGCUCCAUCACUCCCUUACAACCAUCAGGCUCCUGACCCAGCAUGGAUAACUUCACUGAACUGAUUCCACAACUUGUGAUUCACUGUCAAAGACUUGGCAACUCGAGUUCUCAGGAAUAAUUAUAUAACACGGAGAACUGUGGUCAAUCGGAGUUCGGAGGCUGAUGCACCAUCAAUAACUCUCUCUGAGACGUAAAGGAAUGAGAAACACCUUGUCAGGCUCUGGGAAUUUAUCCACUGUAACGUACC